rnacentral:rRNA from 1 species
AUUGAACGCUGGCGGCAGGCCUAACACAUGCAAGUCGAACGGUAGCACAGAGAGCUUGCUCUCGGGUGACGAGUGGCGGACGGGUGAGUAAUGUCUGGGAAACUGCCCGAUGGAGGGGGAUAACUACUGGAAACGGUAGCUAAUACCGCAUAACGUCGCAAGACCAAAGUGGGGGACCUUCGGGCCUCACACCAUCGGAUGUGCCCAGAUGGGAUUAGCUAGUAGGUGGGGUAAUGGCUCACCUAGGCGACGAUCCCUAGCUGGUCUGAGAGGAUGACCAGCCACACUGGAACCGAGACACGGUCCAGACUCCUACGGGAGGCAGCAGUGGGGAAUAUUGCACAAUGGGCGCAAGCCUGAUGCAGCCAUGCCGCGUGUAUGAAGAAGGCCUUCGGGUUGUAAAGUACUUUCAGCGGGGAGGAAGGCGGUGAAGUUAAUAACUUCACCGAUUGACGUUACCCGCAGAAGAAGCACCGGCUAACUCCGUGCCAGCAGCCGCAGUAA